GGGGGUAUAACUCAGUGGUAGAGUGGGAGAUUGCAGUUUCAAGCUUUUCAUCUUCAAGUCGGGUGUUCGAUCCACUCUGCUCCCU
rfam:Talaromyces marneffei PM1 scf015, whole genome shotgun sequence.